AAAGGAAACGAGAAACAACAUCGUCCCCCCAAAACAAAACAAAAAACAAGGAUGUUCGAAAUUUCCAAGGCCACACGGCCUCACCGCCGCCGUUCCCCGUCUACUUCACCAUCGGCGCGGUGGUACCAGUAGUACCGAAUACGUCCUCGACCCUCGCUCCUGCGCAUCUCCGGGCGGGGAUCCGCAAGGCCUCCUUCGACCGCGGCCGUGGGGUGGUUGGUGUCACCGCUUCACACGAGCGAGCCAGGUCCUGCGCCGAGGACCUCACCAGUUACUUCUCAGGGGAGUGGGAGACGCGUCCGUUGAUGUCGCUCGCCUCUCCGACCACCUCCACGCUGGUGGCGGAGCUGCUAUAGAACCAUUGGGUUCAAAUGAACCCAACGAAAAAGGACUCAGGAAAAGGACGCCUGGCCUGGGUAUGCGGGCCGGUGUUUGCAACAGGCCGAAAGAAAAUGGACUGGACCGUGAGCACGGAGAUGGGCUGUGUCGGGAUGGAAGGACAUUUUCUGGGUGCAUCGGUGCUUAUUACUAUGGAAUUUCAGACCCAGCAACUACGGUGGCGAUAGCUAUGGACCUCUACCUGACUCAUACUCCGUAUGACCCAUGUAAGGGUCUUUCAUUUACUAUAAAAAAAAGAGAUAACUAUCGGCUGUGGACUGUGUCGCUCUCAUGGACAUGAGACAGGAGAAUGCAUUUCUGUUGUCGAUGUGGUGGGCAAUCAAGGCACAAAAUCGAGAGCAAUCAAGACACAAAUCGAGAGCAAGAAAAAAGGGUCCAUUUGUAUGUCGUGACAUGCAGUAAUACGAGAUAAUGUCAGGUAUUUUUUAGUUCGAUAUUCCUUUUUAUCCUAACUAAAAUAUCAAUUUAUUUGUAAACUCUAUACAGACUUAGUGUAACGACUUGUAUACCCAAGGGCGCUAUACCGAAUCAUUGCGCACUGGGGUUGUUGCUCGAACACACAGGUACUCCCUCCGUCCCAUAUUAAUUGAUUUUCUAUUACAUAUAUCUAAAUAUUUUUUAGUCAUAGAUACAUCCAUAUUUAGACAAGUCCAAAUCAGUUAUUAUGAGACGGAGGAAUUACUGUAUGCACAACUGCAAGAUCAACUGCAAGAAGGGAAACCCCACAUAUCACGCAUGCACAUACCAAAAUACUAGUACUACUCCGCGCUUCCAGUCUUCUAUUUUUAUAAGGUUUGAAUUUUGUAUCCUCCAACAUGUUCAAUUAUUUGCGUGCUCUGCUAAUCUCCUGCGGCAUUGACUUGAAAAAAGGUCAUUGGUAGAUUAUUAGUGUUAUGCGUUCUUCUGCUACUAUUCCCAGCUACUCUUAAAAUUCAAAAAGGAGUAUAUAGUUUUCAAUGCACAUCUCACGGUUCCUAAAAUUCUAAAAAAAUCAACAGAUAUUUUCCCCCAUAUUCUUUGUGCAAGAUACAAUACGAAUCAGCUUCCUCAAUGAUUUGGGUGCUGUUCCGGUUCCACAAGCAAAGAAGACACAACUGGCCGUCUGGCCGGACAUAUAUGGCCCCCAUGUAUGUAUACAAACCAAGCCAUCAACACCUGGAACAACAUUUGAGCUGCAUGCACUGCACUUCUACACUGCAUUUUUUUUUAAAAAAAAUCGCCUAACAGAACCAAAACAAAAAUACAAGAACGUGUGAGAAGCUAAUUGCCAGAGUAACGACAGCCUUUUUUGUGCCUUCUCCUCCCGCUUACGCUAACCCAAACUGAUAACACAGCCUAUUGACUUGCUCGUCCUAAUCAUGCAGCUCACGUCUUUGAACUGGAUUUGUUUAUUUAUUUUGGUUGCUGGAUUAUUUUAGUCGGGAGAGUUCUUUCAGAAGGAAAAUUAUUGUUUUAGCCUGAAGUGACACCAUGGCGGUGCCUGCCAAAGGGCUCUAUAUAUGCUGCCGUUGACGAGUGGUAGACUCGCUCGCCGGAUACUCCAACCGGGUACGGAAGAAUAGUUUGAUUUAGUUAACUGCAAAAUUAGCAGCCACUGUACAACUAUAGUCCUUUUUGUAACAUGUACAUGCAUGGCGUCAUGUAUCAUGCCUAACCCUUCUAGAUGAAUUGGUAAAAAAAAAACUUCUAGAUGAAGAUCAGCUAUGUGAUAGGUUAAAAAAAAAUUCUACUCUCUCCGUUUUUAAAUAUAAGAUGUUUUAACUUUGUCCUAAGUAUAAAAAAAUCUAUCAACAUACAACUUUAGAUUAGUUUGUUAAACCAGUCAUGGUGUAUAUCUGUAUAAUAUACUUAUUUGAUAUUCUAAAUAUUAGUAAAAAAAAUCUAAAACUUGGUCAAACUUUAAGAAGUUCGACGUGGAUCAUCUUAUAUUUAGGAAAGGAGUGAGUUUUUUUUAGCUUGUUUGUGGGGUUUAUUCCCAACCCAAAUACCGGUAUCGACACUUAAUUUUGGGCCUGGCGCUUAAAUGAAUUAUUAUUUUGUACUUUAAUUGUCUAAGCGCCAAUAAAAUACUUCCUCUGAUCCUAAAUUCUUGACUCAAAUUUGCCCAAAUAUAGAUGUAUUUAUUCUUAAAAUGCGUCUAGAUACAUGUAAUAUUUCGACAACAAUUUAGGAUCGGAGGGAGUAGUAGUUUGCAUUGUUGGAGGUUUUGAUGCUUAUGUCGCUUGUAUUAUUCUCUUUAUUGAAGCGACUAAAUAAGUGUUCUUGCAUCGAUCGGAGAGGGAGCAUGAGAUUGUUCUUUGUUUCGUGCGAGAAAUAAACUGAUUUCUUUGGAAUUGUUACGUUCUGAAUUUUCCCAUACACACCAGCUUGUAUUUGUAAAAGAAAUUUAAUUACACCUCAACUAUGAAUGGUUUCACAGAAGGAUUGUAUCCUUCUAUAUAUGUCAAUUAAAAACACAGCAGAUAAUAAUAGAGAUGCACACUGCAGCCUGAUUAUUUGUCACUUUAAUCGAGCACUAUAUGUGCUAUGUGUAAUCAAGUCUAGAGCUGAUUAGAAUUAAUCUAGAAAGAAGAUAGCUUAAAACAAAGAAUGAAGCACUGAUUUGAAGUGAUUCAAAUAUGGCACUAAGUGGCAUGCAGAAAAGUAACCAAGUAGGGUGCAGAAAAGUAAUAGUAGGUGUUGUGUUAGGUCUGGGGUCUAUACAGAACUAGUGCAACACCCUGUUCUAUAAGGAGAAAACAGUACCCCUCCUUUUCCAUGUGUUGUUUGGCAUGUCAAAUAUAUUUUUGCCACGAACCCAUAGAAGGCAGACACCUUUACAAAACUAACAUGGAACUUUGCUAAUUAUUCUCUUAGUCGGGCGACUAACAUGGCCCUUGCACUGAUCAGUUACGCCACGACAUGGACAGGAUUGCAGAACUGCUCAUACUAUAUUGCACAUUUGCCCCCCAAGUUCGCUUUUGGGACAAGGCUAUGCUUUGGUUAUCUAGUCAAAUUUAACAACUAAUUAAGCUAGCUAGCCCCUGAUGUAAGAGCUUUGUCAAGAUCGGCUACAACGUUGCUUCCAAGCGUAUUUGGUUUCUUCCUGAACCUGCUGAUAUGUAAAGCCCUGAGACAUGCUGCCUUUGUCUGGAACCUAAUCCAGUUAGUUUCGUACGGAAAAAGGCGAUUAGUCAUUUCCAAGAUUAAUUAACAUGCGCUUUCGACGUCGUCGCCGACCGGUCGAAAAAUGAGGUUAGUUAACAGAUGACAGAUCUAUGCAGUGGUAAGAUUGCUUCGAUCCUACAGCAGUUGCUGCUGUUGUUUAACUUAUCAGGUUACAUUGCUGUUCAUCUUCUUCUGCCUGUUUGCCAACCCCCCUUGUGUGUGCUGACAGCUCCAAGUUUUAACAGCUCAUUGGGUUUCUUUAAGCUAUCUUUCAUCAGCUCGGCUCCUUCACAGCAGGCUAAGUAAGGUUUUGGUUGCUUUGGUCUGAAGAGUUGUUCAUGUGAACAUAACACUGUAUUGUCAGUACUGCUUUGUCCCCUCUCAGACUCUAUCUCUCUCUGCAGGCACGUAGAAAUGUCAGGAAAAGAAGGCUGCAGUACAAUCAUUUAUAGUAGGUAGUAGUGAUUUUCUUAUGAGAUGCUGCCGUGCCUUCGUUUAAUCAUUCCAGAGAAAAGCCUGCAGUCCAAGCGGUCCUCUGUCAUAUAUAGCUACUCCCUGUGUUUUCUGAAUUUUCUGCUUUUUACUUCUAAUCCACGAGUGACUUGUAGCAAACUCUCCCGUUUCCUUUUCUUUUCUCGACGCACUUAAUUCUUCUUCUUCCAUGUCCAGAUCCAUCGAACAGCAUAAAACAAACAACAGGACAUGUAUAUAUCGCAGCCCAGCAGUCAGCUCCAGCAGCUGAAACACGCAAAUCAACGCUGUGCAACAACAGCUGCUACUGUUCAACAAAGAGGAAGGCCCCGUCCUCUCCUCCCUACCUCUCGCAUAAGACAUAUAACAUCUCGUCUAAUCACGGACGUCAGUCACGUCUCAUCCUCCCCAACCCCGACCACCAUUAUUCUACUGGCGACAUGACGCCGUGGCGGUGCCCGUCGACGUCGAGCUAGCACAGUGAUGGCACCACCCCGAAGAGAUGAGACGAUGGGCGCGCCGUGAACCGGAGAUGCAUGGAAGUAGGUGCUUGCUGAUGGCGUUUCUUAACCUACUAAGGAGCAUGCUAAUGUAGCUUAAGCUCACAGGGUAUUAAUAUUGUUAUCCUUCAGUAGCCGUGAUACAAGCCUAUGCUGCUAGUCUACUCGGAAAACAAAGGAGAGAGGGAACCAGUCUCUGUAGGUGCAUCUGAACAGCUGAUACUAGAUAGAUAAGUGUACAUUAACUGUUGCUUUCAGAAUUCACUUCUCAUCUCAUCUCGGAAUACAAUUUUUUGGAGUAGGUUCAGAACUUCA